GGUAGCUCUCAGGUCUCACCUGCAUGAAAGCUCCGCUGCCCCGCAGGUGGCAGUAGUGCUCUGGCAGAAAGGACCCCCGACCCAAACUCCUGGGAGUACUCCUUGGUUUUAACUUGGCAGUAAAAGUUGCUGGGCGGCAUUUUAGGCAAAGAGUCUUUUUCAAAAGAAAACUACACAAGGAGAACUACAAAAGCUAAAGCCUGACUUCAAGGUUGUCAUGACUAUCAGAAAAGCUGGUUGAAAUGAGUUCAUUUUAAGGUGGAGUUUCUGAAUGUGCAUUCUGUAAUGCUGACUCAGAAGCCAAGCAUAAUUUACAUAG